CGGAGUGUAGUACAAUGGUAGUAUACAUCCUUGGGGUGGAUGCGACCCGGGUUCAAUUCCCGGCACUCCGA
rnacentral:tRNA from 2 species